AUAGGCAAGUGAUGCCAUAGUAAGGUAUACGGGUAAAUAUUAGGAUAUUUUUGGCAUCUCGUCUUCUUGGGUACAGAGCUACAGAGGCCAGUUUUCGAGCUCUAACCGGAAGUUCAUGCAUAUAUAUAGGCAACUAAGGCAAGUGAUGCCAUAGUAAGGUAUACGGGUAAAUAUUAGGAUAUUUUUGGCAUCUCGUCUUCUUGGGUUUCAUAUGACGUCACCAAAGUGAUUGGGGGGG